ACAAAGAGCAUUUGCACAACAAACUGCCCAUCUCUUUUAGUAAACAACGUUGCGAACAAGUUGUCACAGCAGCUAAUAAGCCGCCCCGUAAUUUAAUAGCGUCCGAUCUUAAUCUUAUUACAUCGCAAGUACGAGAGAUCAAGCUCGGACAAAAUGGACCAACCUACUCGAGCGAGUGGGAUGUAAUGAACCAAACCGUUCAUUUGUUCUUGUUGUUUAUUCCCCUUUUUACUUACGGGACUGGUCCUGGUACCAUCUAUUGCUUCGUAUUCUUGCUCGGAUUAUGUGUAUUGGAACAAGUUCUACCACCCUAUCCCUCCGAACCCUUCUCACAGGAAGCUGUCGGAUGCUGAGAUUUGGUAUAUAAACUCCCGCACCGUCCACGGUUUGGCAUCAGUUUUUGUGCAACUUCCAGAAGCGAACCAAACCUCAAAACCCCACAUCUCAAAAUGUUCAAAUACGUUAUCGUUCUGCUGGCUCUGAUUGCCGCCGUGCUUGCCGCGCCGAAGCCUCAGUAUCUGCUCGCACCGGCCUCGUACAGCUAUAGCGAGAGCUACCGUCAGCCAGCGGCGGCUACGGUGUACUCCAGCGGAGCCUACAUUCCGACCGCUUACACCACUUCAUAUGCCGCUCCGGCCGUAUACAGCGCACCCUAUCCGGCCGCUUAUGUGUACUAGAACCUGGAACCGAAGCUUACCGUCUGAUCGAUAACGAACCACAGCGAGAAAGGGAAGAGAUCUCCGAACCGGAUGCACUAGCGGACCCAAGUGCGCACCAUACACGCUAAGUCACAUUCAACAACACCUCACAAAAAAUGUAAUAAAAAGCUUCUUUUUGGUCGAAAAAAA